AGUCGUGUAGUGUAAUGGCAUACAUAAUGAAUUGGAAUUAUCAUAUCUCCUGGUUCGAAUCCGGGCAUGACCA
rfam:Sphaerobolus stellatus SS14 unplaced genomic scaffold SPHSTscaffold_97, whole genome shotgun sequence.